rnacentral:rRNA from 1 species
CUGCCCAAUGACAACAUAGUUCAAUGGCCGCGGUACCCUGACCGUGCAAAGGUAGCAUAAUCACUUGCCCCUUAAUUAGGGGCUGGCAUGAAAGGACACACGAAAGCUUCCCUGUCUCACAAUAACAAAUAAAAAUUAAUCUUCAAGUGAAAAAGCUUGAAUAAAAUUGCAGGACAAGAAGACCCCGUUGAGCUUUAUUCUCUAUAGACUAAAUCAAAUAUUAAAUACAUCAUAAACCUAAAAAGAAUUUAGUUGGGGUGACUAAGGAACACCGAAAACUUCCUUUUAUUAAUUAGGAUCAUUCUCCAUACAAAUUGACCCAUUACACAUGAUCAAAAAAAUAAGCUACCACAGGGAUAACAGGCUAAUCUUUCUCAAGAGCCCAAAUUGUCAGAAAGGAUUGGCACCUCGAUGUUGGCUUAGGGGCCCCUAAUGGUGCAGAAGCCAUAAAUGGUA